rnacentral:rRNA from 1 species
AUUGAACGCUGGCGGCAUGCCUUACACAUGCAAGGCGAACGGCAGCACGGGAGCAAUCCUGGUGGCGAGUGGCGAACGGGUGAGUAAUAUAUCGGAACGUGCCCAGUCGUGGGGGAUAACGCAGCGAAAGCUGUGCUAAUACCGCAUACGAUCUACGGAUGAAAGCGGGGGAUCGCAAGACCUCGCGCGAUUGGAGCGGCCGAUAUCAGAUUAGCUAGUUGGUGGGGUAAAGGCCCACCAAGGCGACGAUCUGUAGCUGGUCUGAGAGGACGACCAGCCACACUGGAACUGAGACACGGUCCAGACUCCUACGGGAGGCAGCAGUGGGGAAUUUUGGACAAUGGGCGCAAGCCUGAUCCAGCAAUGCCGCGUGCAGGAUGAAGGCCUUCGGGUUGUAAACUGCUUUUGUACGGAACGAAACGGCCCUUUCUAAUACAGGGGGCUAAUGACGGUACCGUAAGAAUAAGCACCGGCUAACUACGUGCCAGCAGCAGCCGCAG